rnacentral:RNase_P_RNA from 2 species
AUGGCCGACCGGACGGUCGCCUUUGCCGCAAAAACAGGGUAAGGGAGGAAAGUCCGGACACCCCUCGAGCGGCAACGCCGAGGAAGCAGGUAGUCGCUAACGACGACCGGGAAUAAGGUUUGACGGGCAUUUCUCCUAGGAAACUGGAGAAGUCUCUGUCGGCCCCAAGCCUAGGGAAAGUGAAACAGAAAAUACACCGCCCGAAUCCUAGCGCAAGCAAGGAUGAGGUCUUGAGUGGAGUCGAAAGACUUUCUCAAGCUGGGUAAGGUUGAAAACGUGGGGUAAGAGCCCACGCGGGACAGCCGUGUGAGCGGCGCCGUGGAAAACCCUGCCUGGUGCAAGAGCAAGUUUGGUAGCUCGCUAGAGGUCGUCGGCAACGACGAUCCCAGAUAGAUGGCCGUCCGUCGUCAGAUGUGCGUUUCGUGCGUCGGGCGACGACAGAAUCCGGCUUACAGGUCGACCAUGAAU